UAACCUCUAAUUUGCCAACCAACUGCUUCUGUAACGUGCCUGAGAAACGAACGUGAUUCGUUGGUUCACAGUACUUUCCCCGCCAUUUCACCCCUCAUUUACGUUCUUUACCCACCCCACUUUUUGAAAACGUCAUUUACAUGUCUCAUCGCUAUGAGAAAUGCUUAAACAUCUUCCAGCUUCUUGUUCCCCCGCAUCCUAUUUUAAAUAAGUUUAGCGGUUGCAUGGGACCAGCAUCGAUCUUCAUGCGAUUGGAUGCGCAAACGUGGAACCAAAAGCGGGGGACCUUCUAGGCUUAAAGAUCCGAACUCUAACUGCGUACGGAGAUCGUCCCCGCGGAAAAGUCUUUGUUGUGUUUACCCUGUUUACUCUCAUUAUAUCUGCACUAGAAUAGUAAGUUUUGCAGCCCAACAUGGAAACAUGCCAUAGUAGUUGCUUUCUCUAUGCCGAGCGAAGCCUUGCACGUUGAUCAAAACCGGUAUUAUUAUGGUGAUUAGCUGGUUCAGCAGUGUAGAUUUGCUGUUUUGUUGCAGCACAGAAAAGUUUAUUGUUGGUCAAAUUUCCACCGAUUACUAAAUGUCCAUUUGACAAAUGCGAUGACCCGUUACAACUAAGUUUGAAGGGUUGCAUUAUUGAUGCCUUAACUCCACAGCGCGCAACCUUUUUACGUCAGUAACUAUAGUAGACGAACGCUAAAAUAGCUGUUAUAUUAAAGCGGAAUCCUUCUUAUGAAUAUUUCAUUUCUUCUAU